AUGGACUAUUCACGACCUUCCAGCACUAGCUUCAGUAUUUGGGUAUUCUACAAUGGGCCACCAAAACAACUAUCUGGGAAAGGCAUUUUUGAAUUGCUGCAGAAGUUAGAUCAUCUCCAGGGCUUCAAAUACGGAAAACAUCCUGGAAAUAAGAAAAAGAAGGCAUCUUCAAAGGACAUGCCAGGGAAAAAUUUCACAAAGAUGAGCAUCUUGUUUGAGCUACCAUAUUGGAAGGAUCUGAAAUUGCCACACAAUCUUGAUGUCAUGCACAUUGAAAAGAACAUUUGUGAGAGCUUAUUUGGGACUUUAUUAAACAUAGAUGGCAAGUCCAAGGACACACUUAAGACCCGCAAGGACUUAGAAGACAUGAAUAUCAGAGCAGAUCUACACUUGAAUGAUACGGGAAGUAGCAUAGAAAAGCAUCAUGCAUGGUACACAUUAACCAGAGAUGAGAAACUUGAGUUUCUGCAAUUCCUAGAAUCUAUUUGCUUCCCAGAUGGAUUUGCUGCAAAUAUAUCAAAAGGUAUAAGUAAAGAUGGGAAAAUAACUGGGCUGAAGACACACGACUACCAUAUUCUUCUUCAGAGAAUACUCCUGAUUGGAAUGCGAGGAUUUUUGCACAAAGAUAUCUGUGAUGCACUUCUGCAGCUUGGUAGUUUUUUCCGCCAAUUAUGCUCCAAGACAUUGAAGCUGGAUAUCUUGGAUAAGUUGGAACAACAAAUAGUAAUUGUAUUGUGCAAACUAGAAAUGAUUCUCCCACCUGCAUUCUUUGAUAUUAGCGUGCACUUAGCAGUGCAUCUACCACAGCAAGCAAGGCUUGGAGGUCCUGUACAAUACAGAUGGAUGUUCUUCAUUGAAAGGUUCCUUGGUACUUUGAAAGGCAUGGUGAGCAAUAGGGCACACCCAGAGGGUUCAAUUGCUAAAGCUUAUGUUAUGAAGGAGUGCUCAACAUGCUGCUCCAUGUAUCUACAUGGAAUUGAGACAAGGUUCAAUAGACAAGAGCGGAAUUUUGAUGGGGAGAGACAACCACUUGAUCGUUUCUCGGUAUUCUCAACUAGUUUCCGUGCUUUUGGCCAUAGGGAUGACCUUAUGUUAACACAAGAUCAGUAUGAUUCUCUGUCUUGGUAUGUGCUAAAUAAUUGUGAGGAACUACAAGAAUACCUAUAUGAGCAUGAGGAUGCCCUACUGGCUGAAGGUGCGGAUAAUAUUGAAAAUAGGCAACAUGAACAGUUUGGUUCAUGGCUGCGCCAAAGAGUGAUCAAUCUGCGCAACCAAGGAGCAUCCCUAGUGUCUGACUGUUUGUAUGCGUUGGCAAUUGGACCGCAUAAGAGAGUACACAAAUUCUUAGGAUGCAUUGUUGGUGGUGUUAGAUUCUUGACAAAGGAGCGUGAAGAUGGUCGUAAAAGUCAGAAUAGUGGUGUGUGCACAGAGGGCCAACAUAAGGGGCAAAAUAUCACAUAUUAUGGUAUUCUUAAAAAUAUAUAUGUCCUGAAUUACCCCAAUGAUCGACAUGUUGCUUUAUUUGAGUGUGAAUGGUAUGAUUUAGAGAGUAACAAGCCUGUGAGGAUCGAUGACGACUUUGUUAGUGUUAAUAUAGGAAGCAAGUGGUACCAAGAUGACUCCUUUGUACUAGCUAGUCAAGUGAGCCAAGUCUUCUAUGUACGUGAUACAAAAUUGAAGGGAGAUUGGCUAGUUGUGCAGAAGGCUCCGCAUCGCCAUCUUUUCGAUCCAGAGGUUUGGAAUCAAGUCAAUGAAGAUGAUGCUAGCGAAGAUAUUGCAUUUCAAGAGGAGGAAGCUACCAAUGUUUCCAUCGAUGAAACUUUUGAAGGCAAUGUCUCGUGUCGACAUGAUGUUGCACCAGAAAUUGUUACUGAUCCAAAAGAGUUGGCAUCUUUGAAGGAGAGCCAUGUCUCUCAGGAUAAUUUUGAAGAGGAACCAGAGUAG
rnacentral:rRNA from 1 species